rnacentral:rRNA from 1 species
GACGAACGCUGGCGGCGUGCUUAACACAUGCAAGUCGAACGGAAAGGCCCUGCUUUUGUGGGGUGCUCGAGUGGCGAACGGGUGAGUAACACGUGAGUAACCUGCCCUUGACUUUGGGAUAACUUCAGGAAACUGGGGCUAAUACCGGAUAGGAGCUCCUGCUGCAUGGUGGGGGUUGGAAAGUUUCGGCGGUUGGGGAUGGACUCGCGGCUUAUCAGCUUGUUGGUGAGGUAGUGGCUUACCAAGGCUUUGACGGGUAGCCGGCCUGGGAGGGUGACCGGCCACAUUGGGACUGAGAUACGGCCCAGACUCCUACGGGAGGCAGCAGUGGGGAAUAUGGCACAAUGGGCGGAAGCCUGAUGCAGCAACGCCGCGUGCGGGAUGACGGCCUUCGGGUUGUAAACCGCUUUCGCCUGUGACGAAGCGUGAGUGACGGUAAUGGGUAAAGAAGCACCGGCUAACUACGUG